UGUGCCUGUGCUGUUGUUGGUCCAGGCUCUCCCCUCCCGUGGUCUUUUGAACCCACCCACCAGUUUAGGUCAUGUUUAGGAGAGGAUUCUGAGUCUUGUCAGAUCUUCUAGGGCCACCUAGAAGGAAGAUCCACACCACUACCCUGCCGCAAAGCGAGCUUGAUAUUUCUCUUCUGUUUGGUCUGCCACUGGUGAACCAGUAUCUACUGGCCAGCCAAGGAGGGAGCAUACAGCCUGACAAGAAGAGAUGCAACCGGUGGGAAAACUCUCCUCGGUGACUUCCUCAGUGAUGGAAGGGGUUGAAAUGCAAUGGAAGAUCUUGGAUAAAGCACCAGACGUGGAUGCUCAGAGGUGAUGGGGAAGCAGCACAUCUAACGUUUGUUUUCUAUAGCCCUGUGCAAGCUUCACUUCUAGUGGAUUCAGCACCAGAAGAUCUCCAAGAGGCUGUGGUGCCCUGCUCAACACCAACCCUGCCCUGUGUUGUCUUGGGCAUCCCGUACCAGAGACUGCUGACUCUUGAACAAGCGUGUGCAGGAGAGCUGCUGGCCCCGGGGUCAUGCCAAGGGAAUGGAAAAAUCUGCUGUACAUCUGCAGUGAUGACCAUUGUUGUGGGGACCUUGUGGGGCAUUCAGCACUAAGCAAAUAGAUAUUGUGG